AUUGAACGCUGGCGGCAUGCCUUACACAUGCAAGUCGAACGGCAGCGCGGGGCAACCUGGCGGCGAGUGGCGAACGGGUGAGUAAUAUAUCGGAACGUGCCCUGGAGUGGGGGAUAACGCAGCGAAAGUUGCGCUAAUACCGCAUACGAUCUAAGGAUGAAAGCAGGGGACCGCAAGGCCUUGUGCUCCUGGAGCGGCCGAUAUCUGAUUAGCUAGUGGUGGGGUAAAGGCCUACCAAGGCAUCGAUCAGUAGCUGGUCUGAGAGGACGACCAGCCACACUGGAACUGAGACACGGUCCAGACUCCUACGGGAGGCAGCAGUGGGAAUUUUGGACAAUGGGCGCAAGCCUGAUCCAGCAAUGCCGCGUGAGUGAAGAAGGCCUGG
rnacentral:rRNA from 1 species